GGCAGGCUCAAAGUCAGGACAGGCAGGGGUUUAGUGAACAGGUCCGAGUCCAAACAGUUCAAGGGGAUAGGCAGGCUCGAGGUCAGAAGAGCCAGAGUGCUCAGGCAGGCGGAUUCGGCGUCAGGACAGGCAAGGGUUAAAAUGAGGAGGGCUGAGAAAAAACAGAGACUAGAAAUAGGAGCUAGGCGAAACGCUGGUUGACUUGGCAAAACAAGACAAACUGGCACAGAAAGACAGGAAACAGAGGGAUAAAUACACCAGGGACUAAUGGGGAAAACAGGAGACACCUGGAGAUGGCAGUGGGGUGAAAAGGCCAUGGCUCUGGUGGCUGAAGGCCUUGAUAAGCACAUGGGUGGUGAGAGGAGCCUCACGCUCACUUCACAACAGCAACCUAAAGUGGAAGUAUCAAAUUCCUUACAAAACCAAAACGUAUAGGUGAUGUAAAAACAAAAAAACGUCUUAUGUAACAGCAACUAGUUCAAUUGGAGUAGGUUGCAGUUAUAGGCCUACAUGGAAUCCUGUAUGACUUUGUUAUAGAGCUCAUCAGAGUUUAAUAGACAAGGUAUUUCAGGAUGUUACACGUCUUUAUGGCGUUGUAUGAACUUUGACCAUAUUUCAGAACACAUGAUUGCUUGCAAAGCUUGAUAUUUUUAAGCUCACUUUCACAUAUUUUUUUCCCAACCAAUUGAAAGUGUAACAAAACAAGAAAAGUAGGCCUAUGUCCAGAAAUAACCUCUCACCCCUGACCCCUAUGCAAAUGAUUUAUAGUAACAUGUAGAUCUGAAAGAAUUGGAUAUGUAAGCUUAUGGUUGCAUCUCCACUUUGCCCUGUGAUUUUAACCAUAUUGUAGGCCAGGGAUAAUCAACUAGAUUCAGCCGCGGGCAGAUUUUUUCUUCACAGAUGGUUGGAGGGCCCGGAACAUAAUUGCAUAUAAUUUGUAGACUGCAAACUGACCACAAGAAGCCCAAACAUAUAUAAUAUUUGACUAACAUUAUCAUUUCAAAUCUUGCUCUCAUUUGUAUAUG
ensembl:lncRNA